rnacentral:rRNA from 1 species
AUUGAACGCUGGCGGCAUGCUUUACACAUGCAAGUCGAACGGUAACAGGCCUUCGGGCGCUGACGAGUGGCGAACGGGUGAGUAAUGCAUCGGAACGUGCCCAGUCGUGGGGGAUAACGCAGCGAAAGCUGUGCUAAUACCGCAUACGAUCUAUGGAUGAAAGCGGGGGACCGUAAGGCCUCGCGCGAUUGGAGCGGCCGAUGUCAGAUUAGGUAGUUGGGGGGGUAAAGGCUCACCAAGCCAACGAUCUGUAGCUGGUCUGAGAGGACGACCAGCCACACUGGAACUGAGCCACGGGCCAGACUCCUACGGGAGGCAGCAGUGGGGAAUUUUGGACAAUGGGCGCAAGCCUGAUCCAGCAACGCCGCGUGCAGGAAGAAGGCCUUCGGGUUGUAAACUGCUUUUGUACGGAACGAAAAGACUCUGGUUAAUACCUGGGGUCCAUGACGGUACCGUAAGAAUAAGCACCGGCUAACUACGUGUCAGCCGCCGCAGUAAUAC